GACGAACGCUGGCGGCGUGCUUAACACAUGCAAGUCGAACGGAAAGGCCCUGCUUUUGUGGGGUGCUCGAGUGGCGAACGGGUGAGUAACACGUGAGUAACCUGCCCUUGACUUUGGGAUGACUUCAGGAAACUGGGGCUAAUACCGGAUAGGAGCUCCUGCUGCAUGGUGGGGGUUGGAAAGUUUCGGCGGUUGGGGAUGGACUCGCGGCUUAUCAGCUUGUUGGUGGGGUAGUGGCUUACCAAGGCUUUGACGGGUAGCCGGCCUGAGAGGGUGACCGGCCACAUUGGGACUGAGAUACGGCCCAAACUCCUACGGGAGGCAGCAGUGGGGAAUAUUGCACAAUGGGCGGAAGCCUGAUGCAGCAACGCCGCGUGCGGGAUGACGGCCUUCGGGUUGUAAACCGCUUUCGCCUGUGACGAAGCGUGAGUGACGGUAAUGGGUAAAGAAGCACCGGCUAACUACGUG
rnacentral:rRNA from 1 species